rnacentral:rRNA from 1 species
CAGUAGCCACGGUAAUACAGAGGCCUCAAGCGUUGUUCGGAUUCAUUGGGCGUAAAGGGUGCGUAGGUGGCUUGGUAAGUUGAAGGUGAAAUCUCGGGGCUUAACCCCGAAACUGCCUUCAAUACUGCUAGGCUCGAGGACUGUAGAGGAGAAUGGAAUUCACGGUGUAGCAGUGAAAUGCGUAGAUAUCGUGAGGAAGACCAGUGGCGAAGGCGAUUCUCUGGGCAGUUCCUGACACUGAGGCACGAAGGCCAGGGGAGCAAACGGGAUUAGAUACCCCCGUAGUCCCUGUCUCUUAUAC